AAUCACACAUUUUUAAAACAAAGCAUUUAUUUAUUUAUUUUAAAUAUUUUAUAUAUAAUUGUAUUUUUAUCAUACAUAAUGUUUUAAACAUAAAACAAAUGACAGCCUUGUAACCAUCUUAACACAGACAAAUAUUAUCACAUAAACACAACAUUUAAGCAGCACACCUCCACUUUACAUUUGCUUUGUACCUCCUGCAUUCAUCUGUUAUUUCAAUUCUCAAAUAACGGCUAUGAUGGCUUUUGUUCUACCGGCUUAUAUUAUAGAAGCACUUGAGCUUUCCAAUCUAUAAAGACUGCAUCUGUUAACUUUAAUGUAGAAUCUAGAAAAAAAAUCUGAUCAUGAUUGAACCUGAAAAAGUCAAAUAAAUGAACAAACUUUUUUUUUAAGGUUUGGGUUCAUAAACAUUAGAUCACUUACACCCAAAUCAGUGAUUGUAAAUGCAAUGAUCACAGAUAAUAGUUUUGAUAUAGUCUGCUUGACUAAAACUUGGCUAAAGCUAAAUGAUUAUUUUAGUCUAAAUGAGUCGACACCAAACUACUGUUAUAAGCAUGAGCCCCGUCUGGUCGUGGGGGAAGUGUUGCAACAAUAUAUAGUGAUAUUCUCAAUGUUACCCAGAAAACAGGAUACAGGUUUAAACACAUUCAGAAUACUUCUGCUUAGUGUUACACUGUCAGAUAUGCAAAAGAAAUCUAUUGUAUCUCUUGCUCUGGCUACUGUGUACUGUGCAUUCACAUGAUAAUUAUAGAAAUGAUGCAUUAGGACUUGCGUUUACUGACCUAAUAAACUCUUUUGGAGUCAAGCAAAAUGUCACUGGGCCCACUCAUCGUUUUUAUCAUACACUAGAUUUAAUUAUAUUGCAUGGAAUUGAUCUUAUUGAUAUAAAUAUUGUACCUCCAAGUGAUGACGUUACUGACCAUUUCCUUGUAUCGUGCAUGUUGCAUAUUACUGAUAUUAACUAUAUGUCGCAGCGUUACCGUCUUUACAACUAUAGGACAGGAAGAGCUAAAUAAACUUAUCACUGCAUCUAAACCAGUAACAUGUUUAUUACAACCCGUACCCACUAAUUUAAUGAAAGAGUUGUUACCCAUAGCGGAAGAACUGCUUGUCAAUAUUAUUAACUCGUCAUUAACUUUAGAUCAUGUCCCAAAACCAUUCAAGCUGGCGGUUAUUAAGCCUCUUAUUAAGAAACCACAAUUAGAUCCUAGUGAACUGGCAAAUUUUAGGCCCAUUUAAAAUCGUUCCAUUUAUGUCUAAAAUUUUAGAAAAAGUUGUUUCUGCUCAGUUGAGCUCCUUCCUGCAAAAACUGUAUGAAGAUUUUCAGACAGGUUUCAGGCCCCACCACAUCACAGAAACUGCACUUGUUAAAAUUACAAAUGACUUUACUUGGUCUUAGUGCUGCGUUCGACACCAUAGAUCAUGACAUACUCAUAGAUCGAUUACAAAACUAUACAGGUAUUCAAGGGCAGGCUCUAAGAUGGUUUAGAUCCUACCUGUCCGAUCGCUACCAUUUUGUUUAUUUGAAUGGGGAGUCCUCUCAUUUAUCACCAGUAAAAUAUAGAGUGCCACAAGGAUUUGUCCCAGGUCCUCUGCUAUUUUCAAUAUACACGUUGCCCCUUGGUAAUAUUAUUAGAAAAUAUUGGAUUAGUUUCCACGGUUAUGCUGAUGAUACUCAACUAUAUAUCUCAACGAGAUCAGAUGAAACUUCUAAAUUAUCUAAGCUUACAAUGUGUUAAAAAUGUAAAAGAUUGGAUGACAAAUAAUUUUCUUUUAUUUAAUUCACAUAAAAUAGAGAUAUUAAUUAUUGGACCAAAAACAGUACACAGAAUCUCAUAGAUUACAAUUUGCAACUAGACGGAUGUACUGUUACUUCCUCUACAGUCAGAAAUAUUGGUGUUAUAUUAGACAGGAAAUUGUCUUUAGAAAACCAUGUUUCCCAUGUUACAAAAACUGCAUUCUUCCAUCUUAGAAACAUUGCCAAGCUACGAAACAUGUUAUCUGUUUCUGAUGCAGAAAAGCUAGUUCAUGCAUUCAUGACCUCUAGCCUAGACUAUUGUAAUGCACUUCUAGGUGGUUGUCCUGCUUCUUCAAUAAACAAGCUACAGGUAGUGCAAAAUACAGCAGCUAGAGUCCUUACCAGGUCAAGAAAAUAUGAUCAUAUUACCCCAAUUUUGCAGUCUCUGCACUGGAUACCUAUUAAGUAUCAGUUACAAAUAAUUAUUACUUACCUGUAAGGCCCUACAUGGUUUACCUCCUGCGUACCUAACUAGCCUUCUACCACGGUACAAUCCAUCACGCUCCCUAAGGUCACAAAACGCUGGAUUUUUGGUAGUUCCUAUGAUAGAAAAGUUCACUAAAGGAGGUUUUUCACAUUUGGCUCCCAAACUCUGGAAUAGCCUUCCUGAUAAUGUUUAAAUCUAGAUUAAAAACACAUCUCUUUGGCUUCAAAUAAUGCAUCUCAUAAUCUUGGUCUGCAGUUGUAUCUGAUCAAAUGUGCAUUAUUAUUCUUUAACUUGGUUUAAACUAAUUACUUUGACUUGUUUGGAACAUCGGCUUUGCUAAUUAUGUCUCUAUUUGUUUCUCUGUUAAUCCCGUGGUGACGGUGAUCUACACAAGCUCCAGUCUAGAUCCAGAACACCUGAGAGGAGUUGAUGCCAAACACUCAGAAGAGGACCUCAGCUGACACUAACCCUGAAACAACAUACAGAACUACCACCUUCUACUAUAAGUGUGAUUGCAUCAUACAAUAAUUGCUGUUAAUAGUGUUCAUUGUCUGUUUGAUUAUGUCUUAUUUUUCUGUACAUUUCUGCCAUAUGCACAUAAACUAACUUUAUAUGCUUCUCCUAAGUAUUGCUUGCACUCCUUCCAAACUGGUCUUUAUGCUGUUCCACAAACACAUUUGUGAGCUGUAGGGGAUAAGGCAUUUUCAUGCACAGAAUUUAUGCACUUGUAAAGUCUAAAUCUUAACACACAACUCCAACUUCUUUAUUAAGUUUGCAGAUGAUACAACUGUGGUGGGUCUCAUUAACAAUCUCUCUCUGAACGUGGAGAAGACGAAGGAGAUUGUUGUUGACUUCAGUAGAGCGCACACUCAGCACGUUCCUCUGACCAUCAACAGUGCGACUGUGGAGAGAGUGAGCCGCACCAAGAUUCUGGGUGUGCACAUCACAUCACAGAGGACCUCUGGCUGAGAAGACGAAACUCCGUGGUGGUGAGGAAUCCAGAUGAUGGCAGGGAGGAGGCAGCAGGAGAGGAUGGCACAAAAACUGCAGGGAAUAGAGCCGAAGCACUUGGAUGCACAUUUGUCUUGUGUUAUUUGGAUCUGAUUGGUCUGUGACACUGAUAAUCAGCAUACGGAUCUUCCCUUCCAGCCCUUCCCUGCUUCAGAUCAGUGUCCUUAUGACCACAAUGUCCCCAACUGAUGAUGUCACAAUGGGCCGAAGCCCACAGAGCAUACAUUGUUUCUUCGGUUUCUGGUACAUUUUAUGCGGGUUUGAGGUUGAUGCAAUGUUUUGGACCUUUGAGCUGAUUUCAUAGAUAAUAGUUUCCUUUCGCUCUUUAACUCUGUUGUACCUGCUGUUUCAGAAGCGUCUUGUUUUCAGAGAGCGUGUUUGACUUUCACUGUCUAAGCGUGUUUCACUAACAUAGUAGAGAUGAGUAAUGAGGGACAGAGGGAGGUUUUGGACGCUUGUGAGUGGAAACUAGAAGACUGUUCAGAAAAGCAUAUUUCUGUAAGAUCAUGUGACACUGAAGACUGGAGUAAUGAUGCUGGAGAUUCAGCUUUGAUCACAGAAAUAAAAUACAUUUUACUAUUUAUUCACAUAGCAAACAGUUAAUUGUAAUAAUAUUUCACAAAGUUAACAUUUUUUUUUUUUUAUCAAAUAAAUGCAGCCUUGGUGAGCAGAAGAGACUUCCACAAACAUUAAGAAAUCAGCUCAAAUUGAGCUUACAUUUACAGCAUGAUGAAUGAACUGAAAGUAAAAUUGUAUCCUUUUAGACUUUUGAAUUAGUUUACUGGUCCAGAAGAAAAAAAUAAAUUAAAACAGAAUUUCAUUUUAAAAAAUGUUUUGCAUUUUUAAUCCAAUGUUUAAAAAUGUAUUUUUUUUUUUUUUUUUUGCUGUCAAAUCAAAUAAUGAGUCACAAUCACGAUUGCUAUCCAUCAUCUUAUUGGAAACGCAAGGUAAAGUGCAUUGUAUUCUGGGAUAUAUUAAUCAAGCAGCAUACUUUUGUAUACAGUACUUUUGUGGAAGUUCUGUGCUUACAAAUUUGCAUACUGUGCACAGCAUGCAUAUAAUAUAUUGCAACACUAAAACAGACAUAGCCACUAGUUUGAUUUCAUGCAUCUCAGCUGGACUUAAAACCUGUGUGCAGAAGUGGAGGUCUGUCAGCUGGGAGAGCUGUGGUACAAACACUGGGAUGCUCUGUGUGGUCCAAGAACAGGUGGAGACCACAGAAACAACUCCACCUGAACCCUGCAAAAGAUUUCACUUCUAAACUUUGAAUGUGACUGCAUUUGCUUUACUUUUGAGAUUUAGUCUUAUGUCAAAACACAUGUCCCUGAUUCAACAUCCAUGCAUUUUGUUUGUGUAUACGUUUGUGUUUCUUUGGUUCCAGAAAUAAAAAUAAACCAGAU